rnacentral:rRNA from 1 species
GUGAGGAAUUUUCGGCAAUGGACGCAAGUCUGACCGAGCAACGCCGCGUGCAGGAGGAAGGUCUUCGGAUCGUAAACUGCUUUUCUCUGGGACGAGCAAGGACGGUACCAGAGGAACAAGCCCCGGCUAACUACGUGCCAGCAGCCGCGGUAAUACGUAGGGGGCGAGCGUUGUCCGGAGUUACUGGGCGUAAAGCGCACGCAGGCGGUGCUGCGCGUUUGGGGUUACAGCUCCCGGCUCAACCGGGAGAGCGCCUCGAAGACGGCAGCACUUGAGGGCCAGAGAGGGACACGGAACUCCGGGUGGAGUGGUGAAAUGCGUAGAUAUCCGGAAGAACACCAAAGGCGAAGGCAGUGUCCUGGCUGGUACCUGACGCUCAGGUGCGAAAGCUAGGGGAGCGAACGGGAUUAGAAACCCGAGUAGUCC